rnacentral:rRNA from 1 species
AUACACAUCUGCGGGCCCACGAGACGGACGCAUAUCUCGAGUGGCGGACGGGUGAGUAAUGUCUGGGAAACUGCCUGCUGGAGGGGGAUAACUACUGGAAACGGUAGCUAAUACAGCAUACCAUCCGAUGUGCCCAGAUGGGAUUAGCUAGUUGGUGGGGUAACGGCUCACCAAGGCGACGAUACCUAGCUGGUCAGGGAAGAUGACCAGUCAACGUGAGACUGAGAAAAGGUACAAACUCCUGCGGGAGGCAGCAGUGGGGAAUAUUAGACAAUGGACGAAAACCGGAUGAAGCAAUGCCGCGUGUAUGAAGAAGGCCUUCGGGUUGUAAAGUACUUACAGCGGGGAGGCGUUACCCGAAGAAGAAGCACCGGCUAACUCCGUGCCAGCAGACGCGGUAAUAC